GGAGGGUGGGAGGGGCUCGGCGCAGAGAGCGGGGCCAGGCCCCACCCUGGUCUGAGGUGGCGGGGCUCAGGCGGGGGAUCGGGGCGCAGGGCCUGCCUCUCCCCGGGACUCGGAGCUGGCUGCGCUCCGUCUCUCGCCCUCGCGCUGGCCUCUGCCCGCGCUCGGCUCCUUUCUCGCCGCGAGGGUGGGCCGGCGCCUGCAUCACCGUGACAUCACCUCCAUUCAGGGGCUUAUCGGGCGCCCGCGGCGCUCCAGGUCCUGGGCAGCCCAGGAGGAAUGGAUAGAACUUGUUCCCAGCACAUGAAGAAUUUCCGGUGAGCUGCUGUCACUUACUAACCAAAUGACUGCGGAGCCUGAGGGACAGGAGCUGCAGGCCUCCCUGCUGGGGCCCCUCGUUGCAGAAGGACGCUUUGUGCAGAUUUCUCCUCCUUCCCGCCCAGGAGCUGGCAUCUCAGACCCAUCUCAGAUUCGACCUUGCUCUCUACUCCUGUUGGUGACUCUGGCUGCAGAGAGAGGAGGGGACAAGCCUGGAGGAGAGAGGCCAGGGGACCCACUGCUGGAAGCCUGGAGAGGUGACAGAGGCCUGUGGACCACGGCUCCCUUCUCUCCAUCAGCACCAAUAAUCCACAACUGAGUCUGUAAUGAAAUCUGCGUGCCCUUUGCCAGAUCUGAUUUGGCACCAAGCAGCUCCUCUGCCGAAGGAGAGCUUUUCAGGGACCAAGUCCUCUGUGGGAUGCCUUUCUGGAGACAAGAAAGAAGAGAGAAAGCUGAAGUUGGCAGAGCCACUGAGAUGUCUAAAGGCGGCUGCUUGGAGGGCCCCGCCCACUCCCUUUCUCCUGCAGCGAGUUGUGUCCACCCGGAAGUCAGAAGGGCCGUGAUGUGGGGUCACGAGGGGUCAGUCACCUCCCCGGCCUGGGCUCAGACUCCCGAGGCACAACCUUGUGUGCAGUGAGCCAGGUUCCUGGAUGCUCCCCAGGCUGUGGGAUUCAGAAGGUCUUUAUCAGGGCACCUCCCUGACGGUCCAGUGGUUAAGACUCCGCGCUGCCAACUCAGGAAUGCCGUCGGCGGGAUCCUUCUAGAACUUGAUCCUAAGAACCUUCAGAAGCUCAGCCUGCAUACAAAGAGCGGCCUCCACGCCGGCACCAACCCACCUUUCCAGCUUCAUCUCCCACUGCCGACAGCCCCCUCCCCCCCCCCCCCACCAGUCUCCGGCUGCACCAAACUAUUAAUACUCCCUGUUCUUACCUGUCUCCAAGAGUGAGAGUAAAGAGAUGUGUGCUCGUGUGUGUCUGGACGUGCAGACUAUGCGCUGUACGUCCCUUCUGGACCUGGGCUCCACGCUAACUCAAGUGUCUCCCUGAGCCUUGCACAAUUGUUAGAUGUACGGGACGCAGAGGUAAACGGGCCUUGAUCCGAGUCCUGCCUCCCCCACUAACCAGGUAUGUUCUUUAGGCCAAUUGCUUUAACUCUUUGACCCUCAGUAUGUCCAUCUAGAAAAUGGAUGCAAUAAUUCCUGCCUCUGAAACAGGAGGGAAAGGGGCAGGGUAUAACCUUCGAAAGAAUGACAGAGUCUGAGGACACGACAUAAACUGAUUAGAACCAAAUAGGUCCAAGAUGGCAGAGGAGUCGUCUUCCACUAGACCUUGAGCCUCAGUAUACACUCAUUGUAACGCUUCAGCUAAAUGACACACCCGUAGGUGCCAUGACAGUUCCAAGGUCAACCAUCAAGGUCAAAAAGUAAGUGGUGGUCCAAUUCCUGGAAAUCCCACCCCUUCCCCAAAAUAGCUGGAAUACUCCUCCUACUCAUUAGCCUAUGAAAUUACCCACCCCUAUAAAAACUGACAACCCCAGACCCUGGGGCCGCUCUUGCCUUCUGAGAUGGCCCACCCUGUCUGUGGAGUGUGUGUUUCUUUCUAAAUAAAUCCACUUCUUACCUA